GCAUCCAUGGCUGAUUGGUAUAAGCACCCAACUCAUAAUUGGAUUUAAGUAGGUUCGAUUCCUACUGGAUGCA
rnacentral:tRNA from 4 species